CUCAGGGCUGAUUUCCUUCCGAAUGGAGAGGUUUGAUCUUCUUGCAGUCCAUGGGACUCUCAAGAGUCUCCUCCAGCACCAGAAUUCAAAAGCAUCCAUUCUUCAGCGAUCAGCCUUCUUGAUGGUCCAGCUCUCACUUCCAUACAUCACUGCUGGGAAAACCAGAGCUUUAACUAUACGGACCUUUGUGGGCAAGGUGAUGUCUCUGCUUUUUAAGAUGCUGUCUAGGUUUGUCAUUGCUUUUCUCCCAAGAAGCAGG